AACACUGUAAACAGCAGCAAAACAACAGCAAAGUAGAAUGAGCAAGUAAAGAUCAGGGUAAGAAGAUUAGAAAACAUCAAAUCUGAAAUAACUGAGCUCCUGCCUGUCUGCUGUGCCUUUAGGGACACAAGUUGCCUGAUAAUGACCCAGGGUGAGAGUGCUCACACAGCUUGAAGAAUCAAGACCACAAUGCUACAACAUCCACCACUCCUAUAAUGGAAUCCAAACAUCCA
rnacentral:lncRNA from 1 species